rnacentral:rRNA from 1 species
UACCGGCAGCUCAAGUGGUCGUCGCUUUUAUUGGGCCUAAAACGUCCGUAGCCUGUUUGGUAAAUCUGUGGGUAAAUCAACGAGCUUAACUCGUUGAAUUCUGCAGAGACUGCCAGACUAGGGACCGGGAGAGGUAUGAGGUACUCUGGGGGUAGGGGUAAAAUCCUGUCAUCCUCAGAGGACCACCUGUUGCGAAGGCGUCAUACUGGAACGGAUCCGACGGUCAGGGACGAAGCCUAGGGGCACGAACCGG